rnacentral:pre_miRNA from 1 species
UAGUACAGAGAAUAGUUGCUGUGCUGUGUGUUUUAUAUAGCUUCUGCAUAUCACAGUGGCUGUUCUUUUUAUAA